rnacentral:misc_RNA from 1 species
AGAACCUAUAAUUUUGUUUUUGCUGUCCGUUUUCUAUUAUAUCUUGUUCAGUUUACUAUAUGCAUUUUCCUCAUGUUUUGAGUGCAUAAUUUGUUUUUGGCCCUUAGUGACAUUUUUAGAAAUGCUUCUUCUUAUUCUUCUUUUGUAGCAUUUAUAUUGUAUCAUGAAGCAAAGUUUUAUACUUGAUGAUUUUCCCAUGCCAUAUUUUGCAUGCAAUAAUAUAUUUUUCCAGUAUGGUGUUACAACAAAAUAAUCUAUUUAAGCUGACAUUUUAAAGCAUCAUUAUUGAUUUUAUCUUUUCUUCUUUCUCUCUCUGAACUUGGUUCUUUAUUCUCCAUAUAAUUGAAGCUUAUAUAACAAUUUUCAUUAUGUUGGAACAGAAUAUUAAUUUAAUGUUCAAAACAUAUGUCAGGAACUGCUAGUUUGACAACAUUUUAUGGUUCACACGGAUAAAUCAUGCGCACAACUCUAUCUGGACAAAUUACCUAGAUAAAAGACGUGUUGAAGUAAUUAGAUUGAACUUAUUUUGCAUAUUAUAUUGGGCGCAACAUAUCAUACUUCAGAAGAACGUAGCUUCAAGCUCAAACAGAACAAAAUCCAAUGUCCUCAAUUUUACAAAAGGCAAAAUCAAAGAAUGUAUAAAGAUAAACUGUAUUAUUAGCAUUCUCUCGAGGUUGGAUUGUUUCAGGUAUCUUCUUUAUAAACUACAUUGCUAGUCAACCCCAAGAUCAACACAUGGACCUUUGCCGAUUGUCAUCUGCACCCUCUGGUUCAGAGAAUUUCACAUAUGACUCGUUAUUACUGACUGCAAAGCUU